UCGAGCGAAUGGAUUAAGAGCUUGCUCUUAUGAAGUUAGCGGCGGACGGGUGAGUAACACGUGGGUAACCUGCCCAUAAGACUGGGAUAACUCCGGGAAACCGGGGCUAAUACCGGAUAACAUUUUGAACCGCAGGGUUCUAAAUUGAAAGGCGGCUUCGGCUGUCACUUAUGGAUGGACCCGCGUCGCAGUAGCUAGUUGGUGAGGUAACGGCUCACCAAGGCAACGAUGCGUAGCCAACCUGAGAGGGUGAUCGGCCACACUGGGACUGAGACACGGCCCAGACUCCUACGGGAGGCAGCAAUAGGGAAUCUUCCGCAGUGGACGAAAGUCUGACGGAGCAACGCCGCGUGAGUGAUGAAGGCUUUCGGGUCGUAAAACUCUGUUGUUAGGGAAGAACAAGUGCUAGUUGAAUAAGCUGGCCCCUUGACGGUACCUAACCAGAAAGCCACGGCUAACCACGUGCCAGCAGCCGGGGUAAUACGUAAGUGGCAAGCGUUAUCCGGAAUUAUUGGGCGUAAAGCGCGCGCAGGUGGUUUCUUAACUCUGAUGUGAAAUCCCACGGCUCAUCCGUGGAGGGUCAUUGGAAACUGGGAGACUUGAGUGCAAAAGAGGAAAGUGGAAUUCCAUGUGUAGCGGUGAAAUGCGUAGAGAUAUGGAGGAACACCAGUGGCGAACGCGACUUUCUGGUCUGUAACUGACACUGAGGCGCGAAAGCGCGGGGAGCAAACAGGAUGAUAUACCCUGGUAGUCCACGCCAUAACCGAUGAGUGCUUAGUGUUAGAGGGUUUCCGCCCAUUAAUGAGGAAGUUAACGCAUUAAGCACUCCCGCCGGGGGAGUA
rnacentral:rRNA from 1 species